UUUAAGUGCAACCAUAAGUUUUCGCGCCCAACUUUAAUCGUCUAUCUUAUUUGAAAUUUUUUUAUAAUUAGUAUUUUUGUUAUUAUGAGAUGAUAAAAUAUGAUUAGUAUUUUACUCGUGACUUAUGUUUUUAAUUUUGUUCAAAAAAUUUCAAAUAAGACGGACGGUUAAAGUUGGGCGCGGAAAACCAUGGCUGCACUUGAA
rfam:Oryza sativa Japonica Group DNA, chromosome 7, cultivar: Nipponbare, complete sequence.